CCUACGGGUGGCAGCAGUCGAGAAUCAUUCACAAUGGGGGAAACCCUGAUGGUGCGACGCCGCGUGGGGGAAUGAAGGUCUUCGGAUUGUAAACCCCUGUCAUGUGGGAGCAAAUUAAAAAGAUAGUACCACAAGAGGAAGAGACGGCUAACUCUGUGCCAGCAGCCGCGGUAAUACAGAGGUCUCAAGCGUUGUUCGGAAUCACUGGGCGUAAGGCGUGCGUAGGCUGUUUCGUAAGUCGUGUGUGAAAGGCGCGGGCUCAACCCGCGGACGGCACAUGAUACUGCGAGACUAGAGUAAUGUAGGGGGAACCGGAAUUCUCGGUGUAGCAGUGAAAUGCGUAGAUAUCGAGAGGAACACUCGUGGCGAAGGCGGGUUCCUGGACAUUAACUGACGCUGAGGCACGAAGGCCAGGGGAGCGAAAGGGAUUAGAUACCCCUGUAGUC
rnacentral:rRNA from 1 species